UACGGGGGGAGCAAGCGUUGUUCGGAUUUACUGGGCGUAAAGGGCGCGUAGGCGGCCACUGCAAGUCAGUUGUGAAAUCUCCGGGCUUAACUCGGAAAGGUCAACUGAUACUGCAGGGCUAGAGUGCAGAAGGGGCAACUGGAAUUCUCGGUGUAGCGGUGAAAUGCGUAGAUAUCUGGAGGAACACCGGUGGCGAAGGCGGCAUCCUGGACCGGCAUUGACGCUGAGGCGCGAAAGCCAGGGGAGCAAACGGG
rnacentral:rRNA from 1 species